rnacentral:rRNA from 2 species
UAAACUAAAUAAGUUAAAACUUUCAACAACGGAUCUCUUGGUUCCGGCAUCGAUGAAGAACGCAGCGAAAUGCGAUAACUAAUGUGAAUUGCAGAAUUCAGUGAAUCAUCGAGUCUUUGAACGCACAUUGCGCCCCCUGGUAUUCCGGGGGGCAUGCCU